rnacentral:pre_miRNA from 1 species
AUACUGCUCCUUCCGUCCUAUAUUAAGUGACGAAAUACUACAUGUAUCUAGAAACUUUUUGUGUAUAGAUACAUCCAUAUUUUGACAAAUUUGAGACAAUUAAUAUGGGACGGAAGAAGUACUAU